GAGUGGCGAACGGGUGAGUAACACGUGGGUAACCUGCCCAUCAGAAGGGGAUAACACUUGGAAACAGGUGCUAAUACCGUAUAACACUAUUUUCCGCAUGGAAGAAAGUUGAAAGGCGCUUUUGCGUCACUGAUGGAUGGACCCGCGGUGCAUUAGCUAGUUGGUGAGGUAACGGCUCACCAAGGCAACGAUGCAUAGCCGACCUGAGAGGGUGAUCGGCCACACUGGGACUGAGACACGGCCCAGACUCCUACGGGAGGCAGCAGUAGGGAAUCUUCGGCAAUGGACGAAAGUCUGACCGAGCAACGCCGCGUGAGUGAAGAAGGUUUUCGGAUCGUAAAACUCUGUUGUUAGAGAAGAACAAGGAUGAGAGUAAAAUGUUCAUCCCUUGACGGUAUCUAACCAGAAAGCCACGGCUAACUACGUGCCAGCAGCCGCGGUAAUACGUAGGUGGCAAGCGUUGUCCGGAUUUAUUGGGCGUAAAGCGAGCGCAGGCGGUUUCUUAAGUCUGAUGUGAAAGCCCCCGGCUCAACCGGGGAGGGUCAUUGGAAACUGGGAGACUUGAGUGCAGAAGAGGAGAGUGGAAUUCCAUGUGUAGCGGUGAAAUGCGUAGAUAUAUGGAGGAACACCAGUGGCGAAGGCGGCUCUCUGGUCUGUAACUGACGCUGAGGCUCGAAAGCGUGGGGAGCGAACAGGAUUAGAUACCCUGGUAGUCCACGCCGUAAACGAUGAGUG
rnacentral:rRNA from 1 species